AGGUUGCACAAUGGUUAGAGCACCAGUUUUGAAAUCUGGAGGACCCAAGUUCAAAUCUGGCCU
rnacentral:tRNA from 1 species